UGGGGAAUUUUGGACAAUGGGCGAAAGCCUGAUCCAGCAAUGCCGCGUGUGUGAAGAAGGCCUUCGGGUUGUAAAGCACUUUUGUCCGGAAAGAAAUCCUUGGCUCUAAUACAGUCGGGGGAUGACGGUACCGGAAGAAUAAGCACCGGCUAACUACGUGCCAGCAGCCGCGGUAAUACGUAGGGUGCAAGCGUUAAUCGGAAUUACUGGGCGUAAAGCGUGCGCAGGCGGUUUGCUAAGACCGAUGUGAAAUCCCCGGGCUCAACCUGGGAACUGCAUUGGUGACCGGCAGGCUAGAGUAUGGCAGAGGGGGGUAGAAUUCCACGUGUAGCAGUGAAAUGCGUAGAGAUGUGGAGGAAUACCGAUGGCGAAGGCAGCCCCUGGGCCAAUACUGACGCUCAUGCACGAAAGCGUGGGGAGCAAACAGGAUUAGAUACCCUGGUAGUCCACGCCCUAAACGAUGUCAACUAGUU
rnacentral:rRNA from 1 species